ensembl:lncRNA
AUUAGUUUUAGUUUAACUGCAGAAUUCUGCAGAAUUCCACGCUUAUGAGCAGUCCUAUGAAUGUUUUGGUCAGUUGCUGCCAUUAAAUGAAGCCUACAGAAUUCAUGGCAUCUUAAGAAACCCAUCUAGUUGAUGACAGGACUUGGACCAACAGACUCAGUGUCUCUGGGUGAUGGACAACUGAGGAGAAGUCUGCUUUAUAAAGGCACUGUGACUUCAAAUUAUGUGUGUACAGACUUGCUUUUCAUUCCAGCACUUCUAUAUCUGAAUGUGCUGGAGCAAGAUGCUGAGAUGGAAAGCCACAGAAACUUUAUAUUGAAACAUCCUCAUUUGAUUGAGGGAUUCAUGUGGGACUUGAGAGGUUUGAUACGUUUGUAAGGAUCCUCAUACAUUUCUAGUAGUGAAAACCACACUUAUGACCUGCCCUUAACACUGGAAGGAAGGUUUCUGGAAGCUAGGUAUUAUGGAAAUCUACAGCUUGAUUCACUUGCCUAUACAUCCACAAAUAACCUUAUUUUAAAUGACUUGGGAUAUUCAAUCUGACCUCCAGCUGCUGUUCCAGGUCUGCCAUGUGACUGUCUCUGAUAUUGUGGAGAAUCUCUAAGGCUUGUAGCUGACCCAUGCUCUGACAUCAGGUUCGUGACAUGCUCCUUGAAGAGUAAGCACCUGUUCUCUUCUCUUCUCUGGCUCUUGGCAACCCUUCAAAGUGGUCACUGGAACAGAGCUCAUGAAAACAGAUA